rnacentral:rRNA from 1 species
GACGAACGCCGGCGGCGUGCUUAACACAUGCAAGUCGAACGGAAAGGCCCUUCGGGGUACUCGAGUGGCGAACGGGUGAGUAACACGUGGGUGAUCUGCCCUGCACUUUGGGAUAAGCCUGGGAAACUGGGUCUAAUACCGAAUAGGACCACGCGCUUCAUGGUGUGUGGUGGAAAGCUUUUGCGGUGUGGGAUGGGCCCGCGGCCUAUCAGCUUGUUGGUGGGGUAAUGGCCUACCAAGGCGACGACGGGUAGCCGGCCUGAGAGGGUGACCGGCCACACUGGGACUGAGAUACGGCCCAGACUCCUACGGGAGGCAGCAGUGGGGAAUAUUGCACAAUGGGCGCAAGCCUGAUGCAGCGACGCCGCGUGAGGGAUGACGGCCUUCGGGUUGUAAACCUCUUUCAAUAGGGACGAAGCGCAAGUGACGGUACCUAUAGAAGAAGCACCGGCCAACUACGUGCCAGCAGCCGCGGUAAUACGUAGGGUGCGAGCGUUGUCCGGAAUUACUGGGCGUAAAGAGCUCGUAGGUGGUUUGUCGCGUUGUUCGUGAAAACUCACAGCUUAACUGUGGGCGUGCGGGCGAUACGGGCAGACUAGAGUACUGCAGGGGAGACUGGAAUUCCUGGUGUAGCGGUGGAAUGCGCAGAUAUCAGGAGGAACACCGGUGGCGAAGGCGGGUCUCUGGGCAGUAACUGACGCUGAGGAGCGAAAGCGUGGGGAGCGAACAGGAUUAGAUACCCUGGUAGUCCACGCCGUAAACGGUGGGUACUAGGUGUGGGUUCCUUCCUUGGGAUCCGUGCCGUAGCUAACGCAUUAAGUACCCCGCCUGGGGAGUACGGCCGCAAGGCUAAAACUCAAAGGAAUUGACGGGGGCCCGCACAAGCGGCGGAGCAUGUGGAUUAAUUCGAUGCAACGCGAAGAACCUUACCUGGGUUUGACAUGCACAGGACGCCGGCAGAGAUGUCGGUUCCCUUGUGGCCUGUGUGCAGGUGGUGCAUGGCUGUCGUCAGCUCGUGUCGUGAGAUGUUGGGUUAAGUCCCGCAACGAGCGCAACCCUUGUCCUAUGUUGCCAGCGGGUUAUGCCGGGGACUCGUAGGAGACUGCCGGGGUCAACUCGGAGGAAGGUGGGGAUGACGUCAAGUCAUCAUGCCCCUUAUGUCCAGGGCUUCACACAUGCUACAAUGGCCGGUACAAAGGGCUGCGAUGCCGUGAGGUGGAGCGAAUCCUUUCAAAGCCGGUCUCAGUUCGGAUCGGGGUCUGCAACUCGACCCCGUGAAGUCGGAGUCGCUAGUAAUCGCAGAUCAGCAACGCUGCGGUGAAUACGUUCCCGGGCCU